ensembl:lncRNA
GCCAAACUUUAUCUGGUGGUCAGUCAAUGAAACAAUGACCUGUUCUUGGAAUGGAGGAAAAACUAGCUGUGCUGAACUGAGUGAAACAUGACUUGCUGUCCCCAUCAUGAUCCCUUUCUAAGUAACUCAAGGUGAUUUUGAAUAUGCAAUUUUUAUCUUACUCUAUGAGAAGUAGAAAUCAUCCUUCCUCCAAAAUGGAAGGACUCCUCCAAAAUGAAAGUCCAUCUAAUUGCUAGUUAACUUCUAAGUACUUUCUGUGUGCCAGGAAUCUUAAGCUAAAUGUGAAUUAUAUAUGCCAAACUUUCCAUGAAACCUACUUGUUUAUAAUAACUUUUUCUCUUUAACCCCCUAUUAAAUCUUCUUUGGUCUUUUGGAAGCCUCCCCUACACCCCCUCUUUUAAUGACAUUUUCUUCCAAGGCUGACAAGGACUGAAAACUAUUUACUCAAGAGCCAGAUUUUUAGAGAGAGAGAACUAGCUUGAUGACAAGGUUUGUCUGAUGUCAUCUGCUGAGCUAUUUUUAGACAGGGCCCACAGCUUCUCACAGAGCUGAUCUCUGGCUGUUCCUGCUCCAGAGUUCCAGCCUCUAAUUCACCAGGACUUCUGAAGAACCUACUGCACUUUCCCAGAGGGGGAAAUUUUUUUUAAUUACAAAAAUUUAAUCCAUCACAUACAAACGUUCUGUCCCUUGACCGCUGAGGAAUGAAACAGUCCCUGCCUCCAUCAGCUUUUUGCUGCUGAAGCUGGAGUUAGAUAACUGUAAUUGAAUUUCAGUUGUCCUUUUAGCAACCUCUUUACUGCCUUAUCAUUUGCAGUCUGACUUACCUCAACCAGUCCAAGAUUUCAGGGAUUUGGGUUCCUGCCCACUUUUCCAUCUCAUAUGACUUAACAAUCUAUUUGAAAUAAUAGACAAUAUGGCAGUUCUACCUAUCUGUUAAUUCUGAUCUUUUUUCCCUCAAUUGGAAAAAGUUACGUUUCUUUAAAAAAAAUAGCUUUUGAGCCACAUACUUAGAGCUGAGAAAAAGUGUCUCCUCCUCACUCUUUAUUAACCACCUCCCCCCCAGCCCCGCCCUGCUUUUGCACUUAGGAUCGAUUAGAUCAUUUGCUGACCUCAGAAUUCAGAAUCCUCAAUCGGAAUUUGAUUGACUCCAUGUUGCCAUGAAGAAACAAGUUUCCUGAAAUAUGUUUUUGUGGUUCUCAGAAGCUUCAUUCAAGAAAAACAGUCCAAGUCAGAACGUUUCUUCUGGUGAAGAAGCUGGGAAGCCAGGCCAGACAUAUUAAGAUUCACGAAGUCUUAUGUCUUUGCUCAUCUGUGAACUGACCAAUGGAAUGCCUUUGGUAGCCAUUAGAGCCAAAGAGCUACAUGAGAGUUAGUUGAGAAUACAUCAAGAAUUUUGUUUUUAUCUCCUUUGGGAUUCUCUUCCAGCUGGCCCUGGGGAGAAAUAGUGAUAAACUAAAAAUUUCUUGGAUAUGGUUGUUGGAACUACACAUCUCCUCUAAAAUUCCACAUCACAGUAUACCCAAGUCCUCAAGAAGGAGGCAGCACGAAGCAGUGAAAAAUGAAUGGGUUCUAGAGCCAGACAGACCUUGGCUCAAAACCUGGC